UUAUAUUCAAUUUUAGUAUAUGAUAUAGGAUCGUAAUAAGAAAUUACAUGUUGUUUGUAAUAUAUUAAUGGUGUAAAGAAUUUAUACAUGAUAUUUGCACAAAACUUUACUCCGGAAAUGAAAGCCUCUGAAGACUAAUGUCUCUUUCACUAAGUGGUCGUUUGGUUUGAGGUAUAAAAUGAGUUAUGCCAGUAUUAAUUUUUAUACCACGUUUGGUAUAAGGUAUAGAUUUAUCCCGGAAUUAUUUUAUACCUUGUACCAAACGUGAUAUAAAAAUUAGUGCUGGAAUAACUCAACUUAUACCUUCUUAACCCAUUUAUACUGGUAUUAUUUUAUACCAUCUUUCAGAUGGUAUAAAAUAAUACCAACUGAUGGGAUAAAUUAAUCCCGGGAUUGUAAUCCCGGGAUUAUUUUGACUAGCAACCAAACGACCACUAAAAGUAUAGUCUUUCUUUACAAUUCUCUUUGUUUUUUUUUUUUUUCCUUUUCAAUGGUCAAUGAUUUCCCUAUACAGUGAUAUAUUGCUCUUUAUAUAUCACUUCUUGCCUUAUGAAGAACACCACAAUAAGACUAGCUAGAUACUUCAAUUUCUUUGCUAAUGGCUUUUUCACGUAGCUUAGUGCCCAAAACCAUGCUAAUAUUUCCCAGCAUCAAGCCAUGCCUGCUCAAGACAGUAAUAGCCAUGAGAUGCAUAAAUACUACAAGGAGGCCACCACCAAAGCCACCCAUAAAAACUGAACCACCACAAAACAAUGAUUACAAAGACAAGAAAGAGACUACGAUGACAGAGGAGACGAGUAACACAAAGCUCCAAGAAGAUAAUUCAAAGAUCAAAACAAAUUAACUAGGAAUCUUUGUUUGUUAAAGAUCAUAAUAAGUCAUUUGUACUUGGUCUAAAGUUAGUCAAGUCCAAAAUGCUUUUAUGAUUAGUGAAACUAGUAGCAAGAAGUGGUCCUUUUUCCUCCCAACAUAUAAAAGUAUAAUGAUGUUUUAUUUUGUAGAAGAUGCUUGUGUGGUAAAAUUCACAAAUAGCCACUUUUUAGCUCUUGUUGAAAAAUAAUCAAUGUCAUGAAGUUUAAAUUUCACGAAUAAAACUUCAGGACGCUUGCAUGGAGUUUCACUAGUAAAAUUUGAAAUUCCAUGACAAUGAUUAUUUUUCAAAAACAUAACCGAGAAGGGCAAGUGAGGUGCUAUUUCUACGGUGUGCUUGUAUUGUCCUUCUAUUUCCUAUUUUUCUUUGGUUAUCAUGUUAGGGGUCUGUUUGUUCGUGUACAAAUUAUGUGGGGAUUGUAAUAUAAUGAUUGUAAUGUGCUAUUGUUAUCAUGUUA